UGCGUAGGCCGCACGGUAAGUCAGAGGUGAAAUCCCGGAGCUCAACUCCGGAAUGGCCUCCGAUACUGCCGUGCUCGAGGACUGGAGAGGAGUCUGGAAUUCACAGUGGAGCAGUGAAAUGCGUAGAUAUUGUGAGGAACACUAGUGGCGAAGGCGAGACUCUGGACAGUUCCUGAGCUGAGGCACGAAGGCCAGGGGAGCAAACG
rnacentral:rRNA from 1 species